rfam:Caldithrix abyssi DSM 13497 chromosome, whole genome shotgun sequence.
GCCGGAGUGGUGGAAUUGGCAGACGCGCUGGACUCAAAAUCCAGUGCCCUUCGGGGCGUGUCGGUUCGAGUCCGACCUCCGGCA